GUUCCAAGCUGUGGUAGACUUGAACCCGGGUCUCCUACCAGAGAUCAGUGCUGAUUUCGAUCUUCUUAAAUUUGUUAAGACUUGUUUUGUGAUUUAACAUAUCAUCAUGUGUUUGAGGAAAAUGUUCUUCCUUUCCUGGGUGAGAAGUUCUAUAUACGUCUGUUAAGUCUAUUUGGUCUAUAGUUUUAUUCAAAUCAGCUGUUUCUUUAUUGGUUUUCUAUUUAUAUGUUCAAUUCAUUAUUGAAAGCACAGCAAGUGAAGGCCGUAUAUCACAGGUACUUGUUUAUUUUUUUAUUUUAUUUUUUUAAAUUAUACUUUAAGUUUUAGGGUACAUGUGCACAACGUGCAGGUUAGUUACAUGUGUUUAUUUUUAUCCAUUCAGCUACUCUAUGCAUUUUGUCUGGGGAACUUAAUUUAUUUACUUUUAAAGUAAUUAUUGAUAGGUGAUGACUUACUAUUGCUAUUUUUUAUUUUUUCUCUUUCACAGUUGUUUUGUUCCUCUCUCUUUUGCUGUCUUCCUUUAUUUAAUGAUUUUACACAGUAUAUAUAGACUUUUAAAAUUUAUUUGUCUUGUUUACCCAUAUGUUUAAUAUUUUGUGUUCUUACUUCCUUCAUGCUGUUAUUUAUUUCUACUUGGUAUUGUAAAUUUUCAAAAUGGUUGAAUUUAUUUUCGCAGGUCUUCUAGUGCAGGUCUGCUAGUAAAGAAUUAUUUCUAUAUUUGUCUAAAGCUAUCCUUAUUUCGC
rnacentral:lncRNA from 10 species